UCAUGCCAGUACUGGUCUAUUCUUCCUCUGCUCCACGACGUGGUCAUAGCUAUGUUGUUGGAUGGUGGAAGCUCGCACCUAACUAUGUGGGCGCAGCAGAAUCGUUCCUUCAGCUGCCACUGAUGUUACCUCAUGUGACCGCUGCUAUUGAUAUAGGUACAUUAUUUUAUUUGUAAGUAAAGCCAUUGUCAAAACCAACAAUUUGCAUCAUCAUUCAGCAUGAUUGCUACAUAAUUAGCAUGAGGUCUUUAGACAUGUAAACGUUUAACUGCUAUUAUCAAUGUGACAGUGAGAAGAACAACGUUAUAUAAUAUCUUCCAAGUUAGAUAUGGCAUCCUCCAAGGUCAGGAUUUACUAAAAUUGUUUUUUUUACUCGAUCGAAUCUAAUCGUAUAUGGUGCGCUUGUUCCAUGGAGUAGCGUCGGAGAGCAAGUAAGAGGGGGAGAGAGAGAGUGAAAAAUGUCUAUAGGUUAUUAUACAGUGCGCUUGUUUCUCACAACUAAGAGGGGGAGAGAGAGAGAGUGAAAAAUGUCUAUAGGUUAUUAUACAGUGCGCUUGUUUCUCACAACGUGCUUUUACCUAUGAGAAUAUAACACCCAUCUGGACCCUCUAAUCACAUAACCAACGGUCUAAAUACUUCGUUAACGAAACUAGCGAAAUCUUAGUUAACCCUAAUCAUCCCUCGACUCGCACGUCCUUUUCGUAAUAACUGGCUACCUGCUCGGCCCCGCCUGUACCCUCCGCACGGUCACCGCCCCGGUCGCCCCGACCGCUCGCGUCGGUCGCCGCCCUCUCGCCCCGCACGCUCACGCCGGUCGCCUCCCCCUUGCCUUGCACGCUCGCCAUAUCCAGGAAACAAAUUGGUCGGGUCCUGGAUUGACGCCGCAGGGGCAGCAGUUGUACACCGUCAUCAACCAGGUAAUACAAAUUCGCCUCUGCUUCUUCCAUUCUUAAUCAUCGUUUCUACAUAAUCUGAUGGCGAAAGUGAAUUUGUGGUGGCUGCGGCUGCGUUAUUCAUUACUGAAAGGAAGAAAAGAGGGGGAUUGGACAAGGAGCAAUCAUGGGCUUGGUCGGUGUGCUCGAGUGAAACAUGCCCGUUUUAGUGUGGGUCGAGGCACUAGGGCGCGUUGUUGGUGUGGCUUGGUCGGUCAUUUUCUAGGUGAAUCAUCGUGCGUUUGGCUGAGGAAGCGAUCACUUCCGCCACCAACUGGUACUCCGACAGGCAAGUACUGCAACAAUUAGUGUGACGAUCGGCAUCAGACCGGGCAAGAAUACGGCUCUACUCCAGCCUAAAUGUCGGAGCGUGUACUCAUGUCUUCUGCAAGAAGGACAAUAGCCUCUAGCAGUGUAGGACGACAACAGCCUCGCAUCGUCACCGACGUCCAGGCGAUGGCCAAGUUUCGCAUUAGCCUAGAUGCUAGCCAGAAGUUGGACAUGAAGCAGAGAGGCGGGGGUCAGCAAACACGAAAGGGAAGGGGUCGCCAUAGUUGUUAAUUCAUUUUUUUCUGAUUCACAACGAUGCAAUAUAAGUUUCUAAAUUUCUGUCGAAGUGUCAAUCGUAGAUCGCGCAUAGUAAUGGUGUAAUGAUAGUACUCGUCAAGAUGUCAUAUACUUUGGUUUUGCUUUGCAUGAGACCAUUUCAGUUUAGUGUGAGGCCACCUUAAUUUUCCACUAUCCUCCGCCAUUGCUCCUAAAUAAUGUCUUGGAAUUUAGCAGCUCAUAAAAAUGGAUGGAUGUGAUAGUAAACGAAACAAGGGUGAUACUGUUGUAUCAGCAAUGGUGUUGAUAUGUAAGUACUCCAUCUGUUCUAAAUAUCUGUAUCUUUUCAGGAAAAAAAACUAUCUAACUUGUGUACUGUCAUGCAUGCCUUCUAAUUUGUCUUCUUAGUUUGCACAGAGAUUGAAGAAAAAAAUGAAGAAGAUACUAAAAGGCGCAUAGAUGAGUAACACAGAUGAAAAAUUCAUAUACCCAUCAAUCAUGACUUGGAUGAGAAAUAGUAAGAAAAUUCAAUGAAAAAAAAUCAGCACUGCCAACCAUCUGGAAAUGCCACCAGAGAUGAGAAAAAUUAGGAGGUAGAUGCACUAGAGGAGGAAGAGGAGCUCCAGUUUGAUCCCAUACUUUGUGUCAUAAUUCCAUAUUGAUAAGUUCUUGGACUCAAUGGUUCACUAUAUAAUUCUGGUUGAUGGACUUUGGGUAGUACAUUGGUGAAUAUACUUCAAAUCUUUACUAAUUAAGGUACAUUUUGGUUUGGUAUGUUCGCCUCCUUUACUAAAUGAGACCAUUCCAUCAUUUUCAUUUUCAAUAUAUUAAGUACAUUUUUCUGUUUUUAUUUAAUUUAAUUAUGCAGGAAAAGGAGGAAUAGGAGGAGUACGUAGUUUUGCUACAUAAUACUCCCCCGUCCCGAAAUAAGUGACUCAAAAAUAACCCAGUUUUGUACUAAGUUUAGUACAAAAUGGAGUCACUUUUGAGUCACUUAUUUUGGAACGGAGGCAAUAGAUAAUAGUAUAACUAAGAUAAGGAACAAUGUAUUGCAACUAGCAAGGUAACCCUUUCACAGUAUGACCAUGAACUUCCUUAAAAUAUUUAUUAUGGUUGUUGUAUCCUAUCAAACAAUAAAAUUUUCCAUAAUUUUGUUCGGCUUGAAAGACUCAAAUCUUCAAAAAGCACAUGUCUUUUCAUAUUUAAGAUUUACCUCUGUUGAAACUUUGUGCGUCAGUUAUUCAGUUAGAAGUAAAAACAGAGUGAAACCCGUACUGUUAAGAGGUGUUGUCUCCUAUGCAUGGAUCAACCUGGAUGGAGGGUGGUGAAUCAGGACGUAGCGACGACGGCCAAGUCUGGUAUAGUUGCGAGUUAUCUUCAAUUCAAGCAUGAAAUCUCAAUGUUUGAAUGAACAGAAUCUUCCUUGCACUUCAGUGCAUGAGAUUCUUUGUAAGCAAUAUGCAACUUUCUUGAUGUGCCAGUACAAAACUCAGAGGCGCUGGGAGGCUAAUGCUUAACUAUCUUCAGAUGAAACAGACAUCGAGGUGAUGGACACAUGCUGGCCUACUUUAUUCUUUUAGUAUGAAUGGUUAACAUUUCAUAGAAACAUGAUGUAUGUGAUAUAUUUGAAUCAAAAAGCUAUGUGAUUUUUUUCAUUACGCAAUACAAAAGUAUGUUGUGAAAUAUAUUGCUAUACUUUAUUUUUAGCAGUCAUAAAAUAUGUAAAAUAUGUAUUCAGUUUAAUUGUUUUGAUAGAAUGCUCAUGUGGUUGGGCAGAGAAAAUAUAUAUUGAAUUUAGUUGUUUUCAAUAUGCAGUGUGAUUUAUUAUUAAUUAGGAAGUACAGAAAAAAUUGUGUAGGUAUCUCGAUUCUCUUAGAUGCCACUUCUUGGCAUGUAAUUUUCAACAUUACUGAACUUUCUAGAGUUCUGUUUCGAUUGUAUUUCAGAGAGAACUUGCAAACUGAAGAAGUAGAUCAAUCCUCAUUGUUUUUAUAUAGGUUACUUAAAUUGGGUUUAAAAAAUCCUAAACCCAUCAUUUUCAUUUUACUAAAUGAGACCUUUCCGCCAUUUUCAUUUUCAAUAUAUUAAGUACAUAUUCUCUUUUUAUUUAAUUUAAUUAUGCAGGAAAAGGAGGAAUACAUAGUUACCUUUGUAUUGAUGAUAGCUACCCUUUGUAUUGGAGAAGGUGUGAGGAGGAUAGAUAGUCAAUGGUGCAGGUUCCAUGACUUGGCCAAAGGUUGGCACAAGCGUUAUGGGGUCAGAGAAAUGGGAGUUGGGACUUUGAACAAUGCUUUUAAGUGGCAUCUCUUGCAACCCCACAAGCUUAAAAUGGGUUUUAUACAUUUGCUUUGGCUUCAAAACUUGAAGGAGCAAUUUGAGUUGGUGGUGUGCUUUAAAAAUGCAUAUUAUUGUUGAAUGGUUUCUCUAUAGUUGCUAUUUCUUCCAUUUUUUCUUGAAUUUUCCAGCAUAUGAACCAUCACUUGAAUUUCAUGUGCAUUGGUUGAGACGUGCGUUGCAUGUGCAUGUUUACUACAAGAUC
rnacentral:lncRNA from 1 species